CCUACGGGAGGCAGCAGUGAGGAAUAUUGGUCAAUGGACGGAAGUCUGAACCAGCCAUGCCGCGUGCAGGAAGACGGCUCUAUGAGUUGUAAACUGCUUUUGUACAAGGGUAAACCUGAAUACGUGUAUUCAGCUGAAAGUACUGUACGACUAAGGAUCGGCUAACUUCGUGCCAGCAGCCGCGGUAAUACGGAGGAUCCAAGCGUUAUCCGGAUUUAUUGGGUUUAAAGGGUGCGUAGGCGGAUUGAUAAGUUAGAGGUGAAAGGUGCGAGCUUAACUCGGGAACUGCCUCUAAUACUGUUGAUCUAGAGAGUAGAUGCGGUAGGCGGAAUGUAUGGUGGAGCGGUGAAAUGCCUAGAGAUCAUACAGAACACCGAGUGCGAAGGCAGCUUACCAAUCUAUAUCUGACGUUGAGGCACGAAAGCGUGGGGAGCAAACAGGAUUAGAUACCCGGGUAGUC
rnacentral:rRNA from 1 species